rnacentral:sRNA from 1 species
AGUAAGGCGUCGUCAGAACAGCAGCUGGUACCGAAGGCGGAGGUGGAGCCCGAGAGGGAACCAGCGGGGAAACUGAGGCUCGGGGUGGAGCGCAGGAUUGUGGGACGCGCCAAGGCUGCUGUCUUUCCCAGCAGCAGCGGAAGAUGUCGGACAGCGAGGACAGCAACUUUUCCGAGGAGGAGGACAGCGAGCGCAGCAGUGACGGCGAGGAGGCCGAGGUAGAGGAAGAGCGGCGGAGUGCAGCGGGCAGUGAGAAAGAAGAAGAGCCUGAGGACGAAGAGGAGGAGGAAGAGGAGGAGGAAUACGAUGAGGAAGAGGAGGAAGAAGAUGAUGACCGACCCCCCAAGAAACCCCGCCAUGGAGGCUUCAUUCUGGACGAGGCUGAUGUUGACGAUGAGUAUGAGGACGAGGACCAGUGGGAGGAUGGAGCAGAGGACAUCCUAGAGAAAGGUGUGUGUGAGCCCUGCCUCCACAAGACUACCGGGAAGAGGGUGGCUGAGAGGGUCUUCAGAGCCCAUUCCCCCCACCCCCCCAUCCCCUGUACACCCCAACUCCCACCGUCCUCACCUUGCUUCUUUCUGUCCUUCCCAGAGAGACCAGCUCCCUGCUUUUUCCUUUUAGGCCCAUGAGUGGGGGGUGGGGCCGUGGGGUGGGGAUGU